rnacentral:rRNA from 1 species
CAGUCAGAGGCGAUGAAGGGCGUGCUAAUCUGCGAUAAGCGCCGGUAAGGUGAUAUGAACCGUUAUAACCGGCGAUACCCGAAUGGGGAAACCCAGUGUGAUUCGUCACACUAUCAUUAACUGAAUCCAUAGGUUAAUGAGGCGAACCGGGGGAACUGAAACAUCUAAGUACCCCGAGGAAAAGAAAUCAACCGAGAUUCCCCCAGUAGCGGCGAGCGAACGGGGAGGAGCCCAGAGCCUGAAUCAGCAUGUGUGUUAGUGGAAGCGUCUGGAAAGGCGCGCGAUACAGGGUGACAGCCCCGUACACAAAAGCGCAUGUGCUGUGAGCUCGAUGAGUAGGGCGGGACACGUGGUAUCCUGUCUGAAUAUGGGGGGACCAUCCUCCAAGGCUAAAUACUCCUGACUGACCGAUAGUGAACCAGUACCGUGAGGGAAAGGCGAAAAGAACCCCGGCGAGGGGAGUGAAAAAGAACCUGAAACCGUGUACGUACAAGCAGUGGGAGNNNNNNNNNNNNNNNNNNNNNNNNNNNNNNNNNNGGGCGUUAAGUUGCAGGGUAUAGACCCGAAACCCGGUGAUCUAGCCAUGGGCAGGUUGAAGGUUGGGUAACACUAACUGGAGGACCGAACCGACUAAUGUUGAAAAAUUAGCGGAUGACCUGUGGCUGGGGGUGAAAGGCCAAUCAAACCGGGAGAUAGCUGGUUCUCCCCGAAAGCUAUUUAGGUAGCGCCUCGUGAAUUCAUCUCCGGGGGUAGAGCACUGUUUCGGCUAGGGGGCCAUCCCGGCUUACCAACCCGAUGCAAACUGCGAAUACCGGAGAAUGUUAUCACGGGAGACACACGGCGGGUGCUAACGUCCGUCGUGAAGAGGGAAACAACCCAGACCGCCAGCUAAGGUCCCAAAGUCAUGGUUAAGUGGGAAACGAUGUGGGAAGGCCCAGACAGCCAGGAUGUUGGCUUAGAAGCAGCCAUCAUUUAAAGAAAGCGUAAUAGCUCACUGGUCGAGUCGGCCUGCGCGGAAGAUGUAACGGGGCUAAACCAUGCACCGAAGCUGCGGCAGCGAACGUAUCACCCAAGACAACUUUACGGAGUUGACGAUUGACGGAGCGAAGCGACGUCAAAGCGUUCAUUAAAGUCGAGUUGGCUUAGGGAUACGUUCGUUGGGUAGGGGAGCGUUCUGUAAGCCUGUGAAGGUGUGUCGUGAGGCAUGCUGGAGGUAUCAGAAGUGCGAAUGCUGACAUAAGUAACGAUAAAGCGGGUGAAAAGCCCGCUCGCCGGAAGACCAAGGGUUCCUGUCCAACGUUAAUCGGGGCAGGGUGAGUCGACCCCUAAGGCGAGGCCGAAAGGCGUAGUCGAUGGGAAACGGGUUAAUAUUCCCGUACUUGGUGUUACUGCGAAGGGGGGACGGAGAAGGCUAUGUUGGCCGGGCGACGGUUGUCCCGGUUUAAGCGUGUAGGUGUGUGUUCCAGGUAAAUCCGGUUCACUUUAACACUGAGGCGUGACGACGAGGCACUACGGUGCUGAAGCAACAAAUGCCCUGCUUCCAGGAAAAGCCUCUAAGCAUCAGGUAACACGAAAUCGUACCCCAAACCGACACAGGUGGUCAGGUAGAGAAUACCAAGGCGCUUGAGAGAACUCGGGUGAAGGAACUAGGCAAAAUGGUGCCGUAACUUCGGGAGAAGGCACGCUGACACGUAGGUGAAGUGAUUUACUCAUGGAGCUGAAGUCAGUCGAAGAUACCAGCUGGCUGCAACUGUUUAUUAAAAACACAGCACUGUGCAAACACGAAAGUGGACGUAUACGGUGUGACGCCUGCCCGGUGCCGGAAGGUUAAUUGAUGGGGUCAGCGCAAGCGAAGCUCCUGAUCGAAGCCCCGGUAAACGGCGGCCGUAACUAUAACGGUCCUAAGGUAGCGAAAUUCCUUGUCGGGUAAGUUCCGACCUGCACGAAUGGCGUAAUGAUGGCCAGGCUGUCUCCACCCGAGACUCAGUGAAAUUGAACUCGCUGUGAAGAUGCAGUGUACCCGCGGCAAGACGGAAAGACCCCGUGAACCUUUACUAUAGCUUGACACUGAACAUUGAGCCUUGAUGUGUAGGAUAGGUGGGAGGCUUUGAAGUGUGGACGCCAGUCUGCAUGGAGCCGACCUUGAAAUACCACCCUUUAAUGUUUGAUGUUCUAACGUGGACCCGUAAUCCGGGUUGCGGACAGUGUCUGGUGGGUAGUUUGACUGGGGCGGUCUCCUCCUAAAGAGUAACGGAGGAGCACGAAGGUUGGCUAAUCCUGGUCGGACAUCAGGAGGUUAGUGCAAUGGCAUAAGCCAGCUUGACUGCGAGCGUGACGGCGCGAGCAGGUGCGAAAGCAGGUCAUAGUGAUCCGGUGGUUCUGAAUGGAAGGGCCAUCGCUCAACGGAUAAAAGGUACUCCGGGGAUAACAGGCUGAUACCGCCCAAGAGUUCAUAUCGACGGCGGUGUUUGGCACCUCGAUGUCGGCUCAUCACAUCCUGGGGCUGAAGUAGGUCCCAAGGGUAUGGCUGUUCGCCAUUUAAAGUGGUACGCGAGCUGGGUUUAGAACGUCGUGAGACAGUUCGGUCCCUAUCUGCCGUGGGCGCUGGAGAACUGAGGGGGGCUGCUCCUAGUACGAGAGGACCGGAGUGGACGCAUCACUGGUGUUCGGGUUGUCAUGCCAAUGGCACUGCCCGGUAGCUAAAUGCGGAAGAGAUAAGUGCUGAAAGCAUCUAAGCACGAAACUUGCCCCGAGAUGAGUUCUCCCUGAGACUU